rnacentral:RNase_P_RNA from 1 species
UGAGCUGGCCGGGCAAUCGCCGCUGUUACUGUUUAUUCAGUACAGGGGAGGAAAGUCCGGACUUCUUGGGCAGGGUGCCAGGUAACGCCUGGAAGGUGCAAACCUAUGGAAAGUGCCACAGAAAAUAUACCGCCCAGUUUCUAUAUGUUACUGGGUAAGGGUGAAAUGGUGCGGUAAGAGCGCACCGCGUUGGUGGCAACAUCAAUGGCAGGGUAAACCCCACCUGAAGCAAGACCAAAUAGGAAUCCAUUGGCGUGGCCCGCGCUGGAUUCGGGUAGGUCGCUCGAGGCAAACAGUGAUGUUUGUCCUAGAUGAAUGAUUGCCACUCUUAGAGUACAGGAUCCGGCUUACAGGCCAGCUCAUUUU